rnacentral:rRNA from 1 species
GUAGUCUGCAACUCGACUACAUGAAGCUGGAAUCGCUAGUAAUCGCGAAUCAGAAUGUCGCGGCGAAUACGUUCCCGGGUCUUGUACACACCGCCCGUCACACCAUGGGAGUCAGCAACGCCCGAAGCCGGUGACCCAACCGAAAGGAGGGGAGCCGUCGAAGGGUGGGGCCGAUAACUGGGGUGAAGUCGUAACAAGGUAUC